UACGAAGGGGGCUAGCGUUGCUCGGAAUCACUGGGCGUAAAGCGCACGUAGGCGGAUCUUUAAGUCAGGGGUGAAAUCCUGGAGCUCAACUCCAGAACUGCCUUUGAUACUGGGGAUCUCGAGUCCGGAAGAGGUGAGUGGAACUCCGAGUGUAGAGGUGAAAUUCGUAGAUAUUCGCAAGAACACCAGUGGCGAAGGCGGCUCACUGGCCCGAUACUGACGCUGAGGUGCGAAAGCGUGGGGAGCAA
rnacentral:rRNA from 1 species